rnacentral:rRNA from 1 species
UGGCUCGGGGGGCGAGGAAGGGCGUGGCAAGCUGCGAUAAGCCCCGGGGAGGCGCAUGCGGCCUUAGAUCCGGGGAUUCCCGAAUGGGACCUCCCGGUGGAACUCGAAUAGGGUUCCAUCGUUCCCGGGGUUAAUACCCGGGAGCGCGAACUCCCCGAACGGAAACAUCCAAGUAGGGGAAGGAGGAGAAAUCAAACGAGAUUCCCUGAGUACCGGCGAGGGAAAGGGGAAGAGUCCAAACCGAAUCCCGUGCGGUGACGUACGGGAGAUGUAGCGUGCGGUCGAUGGCUGCGCCUUGAGCGCAGCGCAACUUCAUCCCCUAGUUGAAGUGGCCUGGAAUGGCCCGCCGCAGAGGGUGAAAGCCCCGUAGGCGAAAGGGGAUGGAGUGCGCGUCAUCGGCCCGAGUACCUGGCCUUGGAUUUGGCUAGGGAAGUUGGGGGCCAACGGCCUCUAAGGCUAAAUACCUCCCGAGACCGAUAGCGAACUAAGUACCGUGAGGGAACGCUGAAAAGAACCCCGAGAGGGGGGUGAAAAGAGCCUGAAACCAGACGGCUACAUGGCGCGCCGCUCGAAAGGAUCGUGCCGGUCCGGGUUCCGCAAGGGAUCUGGGUCGCCGCGAUCCGGGGUGGCGCGUUCCGUUUCGAACAACGGGCCAGGGAGUUCACUUUCACGGCGAGUUUAAGGGCUGCAAGCCCGAAGGCGAAGGGAAACCAAAUUUCCGCAGCCUCCCCCUGGGAGGUGAGGGAAGGGGUCUGAAAGGGCCUUAUAGCCGUGGGGGUGAGACUAGAAACCGGACGAUCUAGCCCUGGGCAGGGCGAAGCCGGGGGAAACCCCGGUGGAGGCCCGUAGGGGUGCUGACGUGCAAUUCGCGUCCUCGGACCUGGGGCUAGGGGCCAAAAGCCAAUCUAGUCCGGUGAUAGCUAGUUCCCGCCGAAGCAGAUCGCAGUCUGGCCUGGGCUGAGGUGGCCGGUGCCGUAGAGCACCGAUAGGGGGGCAAGGGGCGUUAUGCCCCACUUCCCUUUCGAACUCCGAAGGUGUCGGCUCCUGAGAAGCCCAGAGGCGGGCUUGUGAGGGGUAAGCCCCACAGCCGAGAGGGGAACAACCCAGACUAAGGUUAAGGCCCCUAAGUGCCGGCUAAGUGUCAAACUGAAGGGCGUCUCUCCGCUAAGACAGCAGGGAGGUAGGCUCAGAAGCAGCCAUCCUUUAAAGAGUGCGUAACAGCUCACCUGCCGAGCGGGGGGGCCCCGAAAAUGGACGGGGCUAAGUCGGCCGCCGAGACCUUGGGCCACCCUCUGAUUGAGGGUGGGCGGUAGGCGGGCGCGGAGGUUGGGCGGAAGCGGGGCCGUGAGGUCCCGUGGACCGACCCCCGUUGCAGAUCCUGGUGGUAGUAACAGCCUAGCCGGGUUAAAACCCCGGCCGCCGGAAGGGCCAGGUUUUCCUGGCGACGCGCAGUCGGCCAGGAGUUAGCCGGUCCUAAGGAUACCCCGAAAGGGCGUGUUCGAAUGGGAAGCCGGUUAAUAUUCCGGCGCCGCGGUGUUUUCGCGCGCCCCUUGUGGGCGCACAUUCCACCCCGUUGCCUCCGGAUAGGGGGAGUGGGGCCGCCGCCCCAUUUAACCGUUCGAGCCUGAGGGAGUGUCGUAAUGACGGGAACUCAGGCGAGGCGGGAAUAGCCCACUUUGUGGGUUCCCCCGAAUCCGGGGGACAGUGAAAGCGGGAUGGAAGAGAGGACACCGCGACCGUACCGAGAACCGACACUGGUGCCCUGGCUGCAGAAGCUAAGGCGUGUCGGGGGCACGGGGGGCGAGGGAACUCGGCAAAUUGGCCCUGUAACUUCGGGAGAAGGGGUGCCUGCGUUCUUGGGCGAAAGCCCGGGAUCGCAGGUCGCAGUGGCAAGGGGGUCCCGACUGUUUAAUAAAAACACAGGUGGCUGCUAGCCCGAAAGGGUCAGUACAGCCGCUGAAUCCUGGCCAGUGGGGGCACCUGAAACCCGGGCUCAACCGGGCCAAGGGCCUCUAAACGCCGGGAGUAACUCUGACUCUCUUAAGGUAGCCAAAUGCCUUGUCGGGUAAGUUCCGACGCGCAUGAAUGG